GUGCAUUUUAUGAUGGGGCUGGACAGCUACCUGCACAAGAUGUCAGCGGCAGGCACUGCGUUUUGCCCAGAUGUGCAGGGCAGAUACACCGGGAGAAAGAAAUGUGUGUGCACGCAGGUUUUGGCAUGAGCACCUGAAGCCUGGAAGGAUUUUCUUUGGAUCCGCGAUCAAACUGGAUUUCCAACUGGGAGCUGGUCUGAGCACACACCUGUUUCAAGUGCUACCUACGGCCCCAUCCCUCCAGUCAGGCCAUCAGGAAAGCGGUCCGCGCCUGCUUCAGCUCUGGCCAGAGCGCUUUGGCCCGUGCGGAGGGCAGAAAACUGAAAUGAGGACAGAGAAGCAUCUCAGAGACGCGCAGAGGAGUCGAGUCUCUCACCACCUUCCUGGGGGUCUUCUGAACACUUCUGAGUCUGGGAGCAUCUUCUCCCAACAGGCAAGUCAAUGAUGACCUGGCCUGAAGCUCAGAAAGUUGAAGUGACGUGCCCAAGGGCACAUAGCAAUGAGGAAACUGAACCACAGGAGGAUAAUUGCAGAAGGACAUAAAAUCAGAAAGUGGAGAGAAGAAACAUGAGCCCAGGUAAUGGCACACCAGAACCUGCCCCUUUGACCCUCUAGAGACACAGCAAUUCAUUGCAGCAGCCCUGGCAUUGGCACUGCCCAUCUGUUCACUAUGCUAGGCUGAGGUGCUGCUCAGAAAUGCCAGCCCCGGUGAAGGGACCUGGGAGGCGAGGCUGGCGCUGGUUUCCCUCCAGCUUGCCAUGGCAGGACUCAACGAGGCCUCCAGGGGAGCUGUGGCCUUCUCCAAGUCGUCUCAGAGCAUUUUCGUUUUAACAGCCUUUUGGACUUCCUUCUGCCCAGCACUUGGGGCAUGCCUGCAUGGUGGCCUGGCAACUUCCUUCAGGGCUUUGCUCAGGAGAAGGCUGCCCUCAUUUAUCCACGAUAGUGUGUGCCAGAAUCCAACCACCUCCUUCCCACUGGACCCAUGUUUGUCAUUUCUGCCAACCACCCAAAACACUCUUUGUUUACUUUUUUAAUUUAAGUCAUUUUACUGUUAAACAACAAUAAAACCAAACCCCUCCAAAACAAAAAACAAAUUUCAUUUUUAAGAGGAACACCGGCCUGGCUUACCAUAAGUAAAAGGUUCCUGUAAAACAGAUGAUAACAGCAGAACGAAGCCAUUCACUCCCCAGAGGCACCCACCGCACAGAAGUGUGAGCCUAAGCAGGCCUGCCCUCUGCUUGUGAGAACAAGAUGGGAGUGUUGGAGAGUCAAGACCUACCCGCACCUACGGAGUCUUUGCCUCGGACACCAGCUGAAGGCCUGAGAGAACCGGAGACACCACCCUUGUGCCUGGGAUACUCUCGGCCAGAGGACCUGUCUCGCUCAGUGAUGGCCAACCUGGCAGUCCUGUCCCUCAGACCGACCAGCGGCCCUUGGCCAGCUCAUGGGGCUGCUUUGAGAGCCACCUCAGGGAAAGGCACUUCUAGUCUUGGGACACUCAGGUGGAAAGUCAACCACUGCUGAGAAGGUGUAAAUGUUGUGUCAUUUCUCAUCUGUCUUCCCCAGACCCUAGGGACAGAGACUGUAUCUUGUUUGCUCGCCAUGCAAAA